CGAACGGGUGAGUAACGCGUGAGGAACCUGCCUCAAAGAGGGGGACAACAGUUGGAAACGACUGCUAAUACCGCAUAAGCCCACGGUGCCGCAUGGCACAGAGGGAAAAGGAGCAAUCCGCUUUGAGAUGGCCUCGCGUCCGAUUAGCUAGUUGGUGAGGUAACGGCCCACCAAGGCAACGAUCGGUAGCCGGACUGAGAGGGUGAUCGGCCACAUUGGAACUGAGACACGGUCCAAACUCCUACGGGAGGCAGCAUG
rnacentral:rRNA from 1 species